GGUCGCUGGUCCCCGGCAACACGGCUCAGGCAAACGUAAGCGGCUUGUCGCAGAAACCAAGGGGUCCACGAAACGCGCUAGGCUAGAAGGCGGGAAGGAGAGAUUACUGACAGCCGUGCCAGCCAAUAAAAUAGAAAUAUAGUCAAAACUUUUGAUUCUACUUGCUGCUUCCUGGAACUCAGCCUGCAUGCUGUGAGAAGCCCAAGGCAGACCGAGGAAUCACAAAGAUGAGAACAGAGGCAUUCUAGCAACAGUGAGAGCUCAGAAAUUCCCAGACUGUUUUGAUGAUAAGGUCCAAGAACUUGCCAUGUGAUCCAUCACUACUAGACUCCCACAACUGCAUUAGAUUUGUUCAGGAUUUUCAUAUAAUUUUCAUAACUGGCUAAGUUCUGAAAUAACCCAUCUUGAAGACAUAAACAAUGUGCAUUGAUGGCUAGCCAGACUCUGUCCUGCCACAGUUCUCCUCCUACUCUUCAUUUCUUACCCCAAGGAGUAGUAAACAUGAAUCCUGACCCACCAAUGCAGUCCCAGAACUGAGAAAAGAUUCACUGCAGCUAAACACAUUGGAAAUGGAUGGGGAGAAGGCCUGAUGAAAAUUACUGAGGAAGCCUCUUAGCCUAUGUGCUCUGAGAGUAGUGACACCUAGCAGUCGUUCAAAAGAUGAUCAAGAGGAGCAUGAAAAAAUCCCCUGAAUCCAUUGGCUUUCUUCCCUAUACUGACAACAGUUUACUUGUGUAAGAGAUGCAUGCCUCGACUCCGGACCCCUUCUUUCAUCUGCAAAAUCAGCAGCACCCUCACAUCAUCUCCUGUAACAAACUCUCUCUGUCUCCUCCAUAUAAGGUCACUGAUGGUUACAUUUAGGGUCCAUGAUAUAAGAAGAUGGAUGUCUAUUGCUUUUCUCUUGAUAUUCAUGGCACUGCUCCUCUCCAUCCAUAGGAUUAUCUUAUAGAUGAGGGUCUCAUCCUUUUGCCCAGGCUGGAGUACAG
rnacentral:lncRNA from 1 species